CUUUAACAUAUUUGACAGGCUCCACAAAAUCAAAUUUCAGCUUCAAAAUUGUCUUUUCUGACCUCUAACUUUGGGAUACUACAGAGGGCCCCUGAAGCACCAAAAAGAGAGUUAUGAAGAAGGAGAAGAGCAGAGCCUGAAGGUCAGAGACUCUCUGCGGCUGGCUUUGAAGUACACUGCCAGGUUGUGAGAGAAAGGAGAGGACUGCCUGGCAAGGAACUUCAAGUGACCGUUGGAGCUGAGAGUAGCCCCUGGCCACAGCCAGCGAGAAAAGGGACUUCAGUCCUAUGACCACAAGGAAAUGAGUUCUACCUGCAAUCUUUGGAAGCAGAUCUUUCCCAGCCAGUUGUUAAACACUUACCCCACUGUGGAGACAGACCAUUAACAAAUACACGGAUAAUAAAUAAGGAGGCAUUUGUUUGGGAACUGCGGCCUUGUGUGGCUCAAGCUCCAGCCGAGGAACAGAUGGUGCGGCGAGAGGGUCUUGCAGCAACUAGAAUGAGAAGAAGGACAUGCAGAUGCCAUCUGCUAUCAUGAGGUCUGUUUCUGCCAACAGAAGAGUGGAGCUUCAUGCCGUGACUAAGAAGAUGCCUUGGCCAGCAAAGCAGAAACCCAGAAACCUCACAAUGGCUCUGUCACUUCCUCAGAGCAUCUCUACCAACCUCCCAUAUCCUUCCUCUCCUCAUUUCCAG